GAUGAACGCUGGCGGCGUGCCUAAUACAUGCAAGUCGAGCGAACAGACGAGGAGCUUGCUCCUCUGACGUUAGCGGCGGACGGGUGAGUAACACGUGGAUAACCUACCUAUAAGACUGGGAUAACUUCGGGAAACCGGAGCUAAUACCGGAUAAUAUAUUGAACCGCAUGGUUCAAUAGUGAAAGACGGUUUUGCUGUCACUUAUAGAUGGAUCCGCGCCGCAUUAGCUAGUUGGUAAGGUAACGGCUUACCAAGGCAACGAUGCGUAGCCGACCUGAGAGGGUGAUCGGCCACACUGGAACUGAGACACGGUCCAGACUCCUACGGGAGGCAGCAGUAGGGAAUCUUCCGCAAUGGGCGAAAGCCUGACGGAGCAACGCCGCGUGAGUGAUGAAGGUCUUCGGAUCGUAAAACGCUGUUAUUAGGGAAGAACAAAUGUGUAAGUAAAUAUGCACGUCUUGACGGUACCUGAUCAGAAAGCAACGGCUAACUACGUG
rnacentral:rRNA from 1 species